UAGGGAAUCUUCCGCAAUGGACGCAAGUCUGACGGAGCAACGCCGCGUGAGUGAUGAAGGUUUUCGGAUCGUAAAGCUCUGUUGCCAGGGAAGAACAGCGAGGAGAGUAACUGCUCUUCGUGUGACGGUACCUGAGAAGAAAGCCCCGGCUAACUACGUGCCAGCAGCCGCGGUAAUACGUAGGGGGCAAGCGUUGUCCGGAAUUAUUGGGCGUAAAGCGCGCGCAGGCGGUCGAUUAAGUUUGGUGUAUAAGCCCGGGGCUCAACCCCGGAUCGCACUGAAAACUGGACGACUUGAGUGCGGGAGAGGAAAGUGGAAUUCCACGUGUAGCGGUGAAAUGCGUAGAGAUGUGGAGGAACACCAGUGGCGAAGGCGACUUUCUGGACCGUAACUGACGCUGAGGCGCGAAAGCGUGGGGAGCAAACAGGAUUAGAUACCCCGGUAGUCC
rnacentral:rRNA from 1 species